rnacentral:tRNA from 1 species
GCCAGCAUCGUAUAAUCCGGUAUUACGGCUGACUCGAAAUCAGCUGUCCGCAAGGACUUCCAGGUUCAAAUCCUGGUGCUGGCG